UAGGGAAUAUUGGGCAAUGGAGGCAACUCUGACCCAGCCAUGCCGCGUGCAGGAAGACGGUCCUCUGGAUUGUAAACUGCUUUUGAAUGGGAAGAACCGCAGCCUUGCGAGGUUGUCUGACGGUACCAUUAGAAUAAGCCACGGCUAACUACGUGCCAGCAGCCGCGGUAAUACGUAGGUGGCGAGCGUUAUCCGGAUUUAUUGGGUUUAAAGGGUGCGUAGGCGGCGAUCUAAGUCGGUGGUGAAAGGUAGCAGCUUAACUGUUUUACAUGCUGCCGAUACUGGAUUGCUUGAGUUAUCGAGAGGCAAGUAGAAUUUCCGGUGUAGCGGUGAAAUGCAUAGAUACCGGAAGGAAUACCGAUUGCGAAGGCCACUUGCUAUAGAUAAACUGACGCUGAGGCACGAAAGCGUGGGGAGCGAACA
rnacentral:rRNA from 1 species